rnacentral:lncRNA from 1 species
UGAACAAGAGUGAAUGUUUGCUGGGAGAGAGCACUGAGGACCCUGGCCAGGCAAGCUCUGUAAGAAACUCAAAGUACGACGUCCCUCGAGUCUAUGGAUGGAGCAGCACUACCUGCAGGGUCCUGAAUAAAUUCUCAGAGCUACAGCAGAGCUCAGAGGCUCUCUAGUACCAGAAGGACACCAACUGGAGUGAGUCCAGCUGAGGCCAUCAAGGAUGGUGGUCACUCCAGAACUGCUCAUAGACAGAAAGAUUUGGCUACGUUUGCACGGUGCACGGCCACUGCCCGACAGCAUUAGUGGAAACUGCCUUUCCCCGGUGACCUUGCUGCUAAGCUGGAGACUGCCAGGGACUGUCACCUCCAAUGACACUGCUCAGAGGGUCCUUGUCAGAACAAUUACCACUGCAAGAUCAGUGUGGGCAUAAAAAAACACAUUUCCUCAUCCAGUACUCAUCCCUCAGGACUGUAAAGUGCCAAGCACUUCCCUGGUGUGGGUCAUUGGCUGCACUCUGGAGAGCGAAAAGGCAACCAGUCUUACUCCUCACUUAACUAAACCAUGCCGAGAGAGAAAGAAGUGCCUCUCCUCUCUCCUCCCUGCUGUGAUCGGUGGCCGAAGGGCAGGGAACACCUUGGGCAGCAGGUGAGCAGCUGGACGGAGCUCGGGGGGGCCACGCGCUGCACCUCUUCCCCCUUCAGGACCCCGCAGCGUGGGCGAGCCUUAGGAACAACCAGGAGGAACCGUGAUUUAUUCUCCACUUUCAAGUGAUACCGUGAACCUUUUGAAGCAAAGUGAGGUGGUUAUUUUUUUGUUGUUUCCUUUUUUAUUUU